rnacentral:rRNA from 1 species
GAUGAACGCUAGCGAUAGGCUUAACACAUGCAAGUCGAGGGGCAGCAUGGUCUUAGCUUGCUAAGACUGAUGGCGACCGGCGCACGGGUGCGUAACGCGUAUGCAACUUGCCUCACAGAGGGGGAUAACCCGUCGAAAGACGGACUAAUACCGCGUACACUCUAUUUUGGGCAUCCAGGGUAGAGGAAAUGAAAUUCGCUGUGAGAUAGGCAUGCGUCCCAUUAGCUAGUUGGUGAGGUAACGGCUCACCAAGGCGACGAUGGGUAGGGGAACUGAGAGGUUGAACCCCCACACUGGUACUGAGACACGGACCAGACUCCUACGGGAGGCAGCAGUGAGGAAUAUUGGUCAAUGGGCGAGAGCCUGAACCAGCCAAGUCGCGUGAAGGAUGACUGUCUUAUGGAUUGUAAACUUCUUUUGUAGGGGAAUAAAGAGGGGCACGUGUGCCCCAGUGAAUGUACCCUACGAAUAAGCAUCGGCUAACUCCGUG